AGAGUUUGAUCCUGGCUCAGGAUGAACGCUAGCGGCGCGCUUAACACAUGCAAGUCGUGCGAUCGGACCGGACCAAAGUCCUUCGGGACAGCGGACCAGUUACGGAGCGGCGGACGGGUGAGUAACGCGUAGCUAACCUACCUUCGGGCGGGAAAUAGCACCGGGAAACCAGUGUUAAUGUCGCAUAACAUGGGAGAACUCAAGUUCUCUCAUCAAAGUGGUUUCGGCCACACCUGAAGAUGGGGCUGCGUCCUAUUAGCUAGACGGUGAGGUAAAGGCUCACCGUGGCCAAGAUAGGUAGGGGGCCUGAGAGGGCGAUCCCCCUCACUGGGACUGAGACACGGCCCAGACUCCUACGGGAGGCUGCAGUGGGGAAUCUUGCGCAAUGGUCGAAAGGCUGACGCAGCGACGCCGCGUGGAGGAUGAAGGCCUUCGGGUUGUAAACUCCUUUUCUGGGGGACGAAUAAGGUGGGCAGGUAAUGGUCCACCGAUGACGGUACCCCAGGAACAAGCGCCGGCUAACUUCGUGCCAGCAGCCGCGGUAAGACGAAGGGCGCAAGCGUUAUCCGGAAUUACUGGGCGUAAAGGGCGUCUAGGCGGCCAGCCAAGUCGACGUUGAAAUUCCUCGGCUAAACUGAGGGAGGUACGUCGAAACUGACCGGCUAGAGGGACGUAGAGGUAAGCGGAACUCUCGGAGUAGCGGUGAAAUGCGUAGAGACCGAGAGGUACCUCGAUGGUGAAGACAGCUUACUGGGCGUCUCCUGACGCUGAAGCGCUAAGGCCAGGGGAGCGAAGGGGAUUAGAUACCCCCGUAGUCCUGGCUUCAAACGAUGUGGGCUUGGUGUCGGCCCCCUAUAGAGGGUCGUUGCCGGA
rnacentral:rRNA from 1 species